CUGUCUUGGGCUACACGACGUGCUACAAUGGCCGGUACAGACGGACGCAAAGCCGCGAGGUGGAGCAAAUCCUAAAAAAGCCGGUCUCAGUUCGGAUUGCAGGCUGCAAUUCGCCUGCAUGAAGUCGGAAUCGCUAGUAAUCGCAGGUCAGCAUACUGCGGUGAAUACGUUCCCGGGCCUU
rnacentral:rRNA from 1 species